rnacentral:snRNA from 1 species
AUCGCUUCUCGGCCUUUUGGCUAAGAUCAAGUGUAGUAAAAGAAGCACUGUAAACCUUGACUCUCUUUGCUACUUUUUCCUCAUUGCUUUUACUUUUAGGUAUAAAAUAUCUGCUUAUACACCUUUUUAUUUUCAUCACAUUGUAGAAACACUGAA